ensembl:piRNA 21ur-1007 ncRNA
UGAUCUUUUCUCAAACUAGUG